AGAGGACCACGAGCGGCCCGCGGAGGAGCCCGCGCCGCCCCGAUGCCCAGCUCCGCGCCGCGCGGACCCACCGAGCCCGCGCUCAGACGCCCCAGCUCCGCCGAGAGGCCGCUUGCGCAGGCUCCUUCUUCUUCCGCAAGUGUAGGCAGAGCCCCCGGAGCCAUGGCCAGCCCUUCCCGCAGCUCCGAAGCCACUGGCAAGCCCCGAGGCAGGGAUGGCCGGCCCAGGAGGGAGGAGGACGACGUCCCUCCCGAAGAGAAGAGGCUGCGGCUCUUGCUGGAGGGGGGAAGCGCACAGCCCCAGGACGGCGAGGACGGGGAGGACGCGCCGCGGCCGGGCAGGGUGGAGACCGGCACCCAGACAGGUGGCGACGGCAGAGGAGCGGAAUUCUCCACGAGUUUUGAGCAGCCUCGGUUUUCCUACCACCUCCAAAUCAUGGAAGACACAGGGUAAGAGCAAAGACAAGGUGGCUGUGGCCGAUGUCCACCCUCUCGGGGCGUCCCUUCUCUUCUCUCCUCCUUGGGCAGGGAGUCCAUCGGGGUGCAACCUGGCUGGGGUGGGGAGGAGGUGCAGGGCCUGGUCAGAGCGGGCAUGGCCACAGGCAGGAGACAGCGACUGCUUGGUCCGGGGCAGGUGAGCGCAGCGCAGGCCAGGGCCCUACCUGUCCACGGUGCGCGCGAGCGGCCAGCAGAGGGCGCCAGAGGACCACGAGCGGCCCGCGGAGGAGUCCGCGCCGGCCCCGAUGCCCAGCUCCGCGCCGCGCGGACCCACCGAGCCCGCGCUCAGACGCCCCAGCUCCGCCGAGAGGCCGCUCGCUCCGGGUCCUUCCUCUUCCCCAGGUGCAGGCAGAGCCCCCGGGGCCAUGGCCAGCCCUUCCGGCAGCUCCGAAGCCCCUGGCAAGCCCCGAGGCAGGGAUGGCCGGCCCAGGAGGGAGGAGGACGACGUCCCUCCCGAAGAGAAGAGGCUGCGGCUCUUGCUGGAGGGGGGAAGCGCACAGCCCCAGGACUGCGAGGACGGGCAGGACGCGCCGCGGUCGGCCAGGAAGGAGACCGGCACCCAGACAGGUGGCGACGGCAGAGGAAUCCUUCUUAGAAAUUCCUAAGGCUCAAUGCUGUGUGGAAGAUUCUGAGAAAGAAAAUAGUUUCCGAUCUUUGGGAUUCCCGAGAUGGUCCAAUCUGCAAAAAGUUCAUUGCCAUUUCCAUCAAGGACACUGAGAACAAGAGUCUUAUCUGGAUUGGAUCCUGGGAAUUGAGAAGCUUCAGCAGGGCUUCCGCUGGGACUAGGAUCAGGGUGUGGACACCCCCAACCUGGACCGUCUGGCCGGGGAGGGCAUCAAGGCCAAUUACCCAUGCAGCCCCCUGUCACAAUGACCUCCCCAUCCCACUUCACUACCAUCCCAGAACUCUGUACUUACUGCUCCGUCACUGGUAAUGACAAUGAACAUCUUCACAAUCUCAGGUUUUAUUGCAAAGUGAUUGAGGACCAGUUAGAAUAAGUUAUGCUGCAGAAACUAAAGAAAUCUCGUCAAACAAGUGGUAUGUAAUAGAAAGUCUUAGGGCAGCCGUGUAUAUUUUCUCCCCCAAUGACUCAAUUGAAAAUGAGAAGCUGUUACCGCCAUGUUCCGGGCAGAAGCUAUCAAAAGUAUAAGCCAUGAUAUUAUAAUUUGAUGAUUUUUCACCCUUCAAAUGGAUAUGGCCCAGGGGUGAAAAGUGGAUGCUCCGUAACUAGAUGAUGGUCAAGAGUUAUAAAAAUGAGGUCGUCUCUGUUCAACAUUUCUCCUUUCUUGAAAGGAUACUCAAAGUCAUGCUCAGGGCCUCUAAUGGCCAGAAAUAAAGUUCCUCCCAGUUCCAGAGCACCUCAGGACAACCCCAAAACCAGAGCAACUGCUUAUUGCCAUGUAGACUAUGUACUGUGCAAUUCCUGGGGUGGCAUUUUCAUAAAUAUGUGGGUGGCGCCCCCUGGAGGUAUGCAAUGCACAACUUGCACAAAUGGUAAGUCAUCGUAACCCAAAGUCCACAAAGAAGAGGUAAACAAAAUUCCCAUCGAUGUUGCCAUCAGUCAUGAGUCUGCCUUUUCUUCAUGGGACAGUAGCAAAACCAAUUUGGCCAAGUGUGCUUGGAUGAUCUCUAAGAUGGAAUCAGGGUCUCUCACUUUCAGCACUAUUGACAUUUGGGGCUGGAUCAUUCUUUUGUCUUAGUGGGAGUUGUCGGGGCAUUGUAGGAUGCUUAGCAGCAUCGCUGGCCUCUACCCAUUAGCUGCCAGUAGCACCACCUCCUCCAGCCGCAACCACCAAAAUUGUCUCCAGACAUGGCCACAUGUUCUCUGGGGGGCAAAAUCACUCCCGGUUGAGAAGCCCUGAAGUAAAGACAUAAUACGCAGAUCACAUGUAAGUAAGACAGCCUAAGGGCCACACAGGGGAUGCUGUACCCAUGACAAAGACAGAGUCUUAAAGAGGUUAAAGAGGUGGAGAAAGAGAAAAGAAAUGAAGUCCCAGCUGCCGAGAGAAACAGAUGCUGACUAGAUGUUGUUGACAGUCAUCUUUAAACUGAGUUAAAAGAUGCUGAGAAGCCAUCAGCUCCCAUCCUGCUCUCCAGGGACAACGCUGCUGAAAAAGGCCUGGAGAUCAACAAAGCCCCAAACACAGGUGCACUGAGUAAAGAAACCAGAGAUUGAGACAAAAAAGACAUUCCCUCAAAGACUACUCAUUUCCAAGAGGGGAGAAAAAGUGGAGUCAUGAAAAACAGUUGAGGCUGGGUAGAGUGACUCGCACCUGUAAUCCCAGCACUUUGGGAUUACUCCCAGGCUGAGGUGGGAAGAUUGCUUGAACUCAGGAGUUCAAGACCAGCCUGGGAAAAAUAGCAAGACCUUGCCUCUAGAAAAAGGGAAAAAAUUAGCCAGGUGUGGUGAUACAUGCCUGUGGUCUCAGCUACUUGGGAGGCUGAGGUGGGAGGAUCGCUUGAACCCAGGAGGUAGAGGCUGCAGUGAGCCGGGAUCGCACCACUGCACUCCAGCCUGGGUUACAGAUCCUGUCUC
ensembl:lncRNA LINC00937 long intergenic non-protein coding RNA 937